rnacentral:rRNA from 1 species
UACAGAGGUCCCGAGCGUUGUUCGGAUUCAUUGGGCGUAAAGGGUGCGUAGGCGGCGGGGUCAGUUUGAUGUGAAAUCCCGGGGCUCAACCCUGGAAUUGCAUUGAAUACUACCUUGCUAGAGUACCGGAGAGGAAACUGGAAUUUACGGUGUAGCAGUGAAAUGCGUAGAGAUCGUAAGGAAGACCAGUGGCGAAGGCGAGUUGCUGGACGGUAACUGACGCUGAGGCACGAAGGCCAGGGGAGCAAACGGG